UACGUAGGGUGCAAGCGUUAAUCGGAAUUACUGGGCGUAAAGCGUGCGCAGGCGGUUCUGUAAGAUAGAUGUGAAAUCCCCGGGCUCAACCUGGGAAUUGCAUAUAUGACUGCAGGACUUGAGUUUGUCAGAGGAGGGUGGAAUUCCACGUGUAGCAGUGAAAUGCGUAGAUAUGUGGAAGAACACCGAUGGCGAAGGCAGCCCUCUGGGACAUGACUAACGCUCAUGCACGAAAGCGUGGGGAGCAAACAGG
rnacentral:rRNA from 1 species